rfam:Myotis brandtii contig163893, whole genome shotgun sequence.
CAUGCACCAGUGGGGUCCCUCGGCCUGGCCUGCGGGAUCGGGUCGAAAACAGCUCUCCGACAUCCCCUGAGGAGUCCCAGAUUGCGAGAGGGUGCAGGCCAGGCCAAGGGACCCCACUGGUGCAUG